GUUGUUUUUUGCACAAAUUUCCUUGUCAAAUUUGUCAAUGUUCAUGUCAUUUUUGCUUUAGGUCACAGAGCAAGGUGCAAAUUCCUGGCAUCUUUACUAGUAGCAGCCAAUUUCGGCGAUUUCGGCGGUGACGGAGAUUCUCCGAGGAGUCGCGUGCCCGCGCGCGCCCGCCUGUCGGCCCCGGCAGAGUGAGGCCCCGACACCUCCUCCGGGAAGUCCGCGGGCCCGACUCUGGUUUAGGGGGGAGAGGCUCGGGGCCGUGCUGGGGGCGGGGCAGCAGAGGAUAUCUUGCUUUCCUAAGCACCCACACCCAGACGCCCCCCACCCAGGGAAGUUGGAGGACAAGGGUGGGAAUAGGGGGCUCCAGAUACAGCUCUUCCUGUGCCAUCUCCUCUCCUCAAGCUGCGGCCCUUUUCCCUUCUUCUUUUGCCUCCUCCGAGGAAUCAGUGGGAAAGGGAGCCCUCUUCUCAUCUUUUCCUAAGAAUCUUUGCCUCCCAGUGCCCCAAGGCUCCAUCCACACCGGGUUCCAAAGCCAGGCUGACCUCUCCCCACCCUACAAGAGAUUCCUGAGAGAGUAGAGGGAGUGGGAGAGGAGUGCCCCGUUCCCUCCUCCCACAGGCUCCAUACCCACUUUGAGGGGCGCUGGGGCUCUCCACUCCCCGAGGGGAAUUGUGGAUGAACAGGUGUACGUGGAACAGGUGAGGGUGCACGCGACCACUCCUUCCUGGGGAGGUACGAAAAGCUGGUCAUUCUGUCUAGAUUUCCACCAUAUGAGCUUCAACUGUUGGGGUUAGGCCAGGCCCACUCCAGACUAAUCUUAUAUAAAAAACAGAUUAUCCUAAGAGGUCACUCAGGAGCUUGGGCAGUCCAGAGCUAAAUGUGGGGGAGUUUAUCAGAUUAUUGCUGCCCAGCAAAAGUCAACAGCUAGCACUAGGAACUGCUUCCAGGUGCCCUUUGCCUGGAUUAUUUCAUGAAAUCACCAUUACAACAACCCCGGGAGGCAUUUACUAAUAUUAUCCCAUUUUACAGGUGCAGGAACAGCUCUAUGAGGUGGAUCCACUUGGAAAGUUUGGAUAAGGCUUGUGGGCCUGUGAGGCUGUUUUCCCUCCCUGGGAGCCAAGAAGUGCAGGGGCAGGAAGCUGGCUGCAGCAGGACCACCAAAGCCCAGAGACUGCUCCUGUCCUGGAAGGAGUAUGCCUUUCUGAGAUUCCACCUGCCACCAUCCAGCAGAGUCCACUCGUAGAAACAGACGCACUCACUUACUUGGACCGAACUCCUACAGGGCUGCAGGUGUGCCUGUCUAAGGUGGGCACCCACGUACACCCCAGCAGGUGUGGGCCUAGACAGUGCCCACCCUUGUAGACAUGUGCCCUCAACAUUCAGGGGCACCUGAAGAUUCCAGUCUUCCCAGAAGUGGGCUCCUGGCCUUCCUCCUACCUGCCAGGCCCAUCCACAGGGGAAAGAGGGGAUGUUUUGCAUGACAGGAGAGGGCUCUGUUCACCCCACUUGUGGUUUCUUUAUUGUGUGUUAAUGAAACCCUGUUUCUUCUGGGCGUUUAAUUCUUUCCAUCUAUUAUGUUUAGACAACUCAUUAACAAUCAUUCGUUAUAAUUAGACUUCAAUUUUAGGCUCCUUUCUCAGGGGAGGCAAUGCAGAGCUUUUACACAUAUUUGCAUCAUAAACAGCUUCCAAAUCUCUGGGUGCCUCCCCUGCCCUGUCCCCCUCUAGCUCCUGACCCUCCUUUUCUCUCUUUCCUUCC
rnacentral:lncRNA from 1 species